GAUGAACGCUGGCGGCGUGCCUAAUACAUGCAAGUCGAGCGAACGGACGAGAAGCUUGCUUCUCUGAUGUUAGCGGCGGACGGGUGAGUAACACGUGGAUAACCUACCUAUAAGACUGGGAUAACUUCGGGAAACCGGAGCUAAUACCGGAUAAUAUUUUGAACCGCAUGGUUCAAAAGUGAAAGACGGUCUUGCUGUCACUUAUAGAUGGAUCCGCGCUGCAUUAGCUAGUUGGUAAGGUAACGGCUUACCAAGGCAACGAUGCAUAGCCGACCUGAGAGGGUGAUCGGCCACACUGGAACUGAGACACGGUCCAGACUCCUACGGGAGGCAGCAGUAGGGAAUCUUCCGCAAUGGGCGAAAGCCUGACGGAGCAACGCCGCGUGAGUGAUGAAGGUCUUCGGAUCGUAAAACUCUGUUAUUAGGGAAGAACAUAUGUGUAAGUAACUGUGCACAUCUUGACGGUACCUAAUCAGAAAGCCACGGCUAACUACGUGCCAGCAGCCGCGGUAAUACGUAGGUGGCAAGCGUUAUCCGGAAUUAUUGGGCGUAAAGCGCGCGUAGGCGGUUUUUUAAGUCUGAUGUGAAAGCCCACGGCUCAACCGUGGAGGGUCAUUGGAAACUGGAAAGCUUGAGUGCAGAAGAGGAAAGUGGAAUUCCAUGUGUAGCGGUGAAAUGCGCAGAGAUAUGGAGGAACACCAGUGGCGAAGGCGACUUUCUGGUCUGUAACUGACGCUGAUGUGCGAAAGCGUGGGGAUCAAACAGGAUUAGAUACCCUGGUAGUCCACGCCGUAAACGAUGAGUGCUAAGUGUUAGGGGGUUUCCGCCCCUUAGUGCUGCAGCUAACGCAUUAAGCACUCCGCCUGGGGAGUACGACCGCAAGGUUGAAACUCAAAGGAAUUGACGGGGACCCGCACAAGCGGUGGAGCAUGUGGUUUAAUUCGAAGCAACGCGAAGAACCUUACCAAAUCUUGACAUCCUUUGACAACUCUAGAGAUAGAGCUUUCCCCUUCGGGGGACAAAGUGACAGGUGGUGCAUGGUUGUCGUCAGCUCGUGUCGUGAGAUGUUGGGUUAAGUCCCGCAACGAGCGCAACCCUUAAGCUUAGUUGCCAUCAUUAAGUUGGGCACUCUAAGUUGACUGCCGGUGACAAACCGGAGGAAGGUGGGGAUGACGUCAAAUCAUCAUGCCCCUUAUGAUUUGGGCUACACACGUGCUACAAUGGACAAUACAAAGGGCAGCGAAACCGCGAGGUCAAGCAAAUCCCAUAAAGUUGUUCUCAGUUCGGAUUGUAGUCUGCAACUCGACUACAUGAAGCUGGAAUCGCUAGUAAUCGUAGAUCGGCAUGCUACGGUGAAUACGUUCCCGGGUCU
rnacentral:rRNA from 1 species